GGACGAGUGGCUGAGCUGGUUGAAGGCACCACCCUGGAAAGGUGGCACAGGGGUAACUCUGUCGCGGGUUCGAAUCCCGCCUCUUCCGCCA
rnacentral:tRNA from 1 species